rnacentral:lncRNA from 1 species
GUUCCUAUUUCAUGACAUUAUAUGCCGUCAUACUCUAUACAGUUCAGUACAAGCAGCUUUCUUGAGCACAUACCUGUGAGAACAAAACAAGAUGGAAGGUUGCUAUGUGCUGUGACAGUGAGUCCGCGUGAAGACUCCUCUAGAGCAGAUGUUCUUAAUAUUUUCUUUCUCUAAAAUACUUUGUUGAUUUCAGAAAAAUACUUUAAAAUAUAGAAAAAGUUACUAUUGUCAGGGUUUGUUUUGUUUUGUUUUGUUUUCCUUUAACGGAGGGCACAAGCAAAUAUACUCUGAACAGAAACAAUUAAGUGAGGUUGGUGUGCUCACUUUUCCCAUGGAGGUGUGGGACAACCUCUAUACACACCAAGUAAGACACCCGUGACAGACAGAAGAAAGGAAACCACCCAAGUCUAGCUUGCUGAAGCAGUGGGUUUAACCAGGCUUCCUGGGGCUGGAAGGAUGGAGCAGAGGCUACGAGCACUUGCUCUUGCACAAGACCUGGGUUCAGUUCCCAGCACCCUCAUGUGCACAUACACAUAUACAUGCAAGCAAGACAUAUAUAUAUAUAUAUAUAUAUAUAUAUAUAUAUAUAUAUAUAUAUUAAAAUAAAUAAAUCUAAGAUGGCUGUAGGGCUGCUUACAGAGGUAUGGGCAGCUAUACCACCAGAGAAUAGCUAUCCCCAUAGUAACAGCUAACCCCUCAGGGAAAGGCAGGGUCCCUCUGAAUAAGUACACAGCUCUGCACACCUUUCCUGCUUCCACAAGAGAAAUGUUAGUGAGCCCAGUCUUGCUCUGACUUCAAGAGGACAGUGGCUACAUCGUGUCCGGAGAACAGAGUUGCACAACAGAGACAUUUAAAGAGCUCAGAAAUUAUAAUAUUAUUUAAAAAAGUUAUAGACAAUUUUAGUAGAUAAAUUGUGCUUUUUUUUUAAAAAAAGAUAAGUCUCGGGUUUUUCCAGCUCUUCGUUGAAAACGUAACAUUUCUAUGGUGUAAGAGUGGAGCAGACAAAACAAAAUUAACUUAGCUGCUUAGGAAAUAAUGCUUAGGGUAAUUCUGUGAUCCAGCACUUGAAUGUGCAGGGUUUAAUCCCCAGAACAAGAAAGAUGAAGAGAUGAGAGGGAGAGAAAAAGCCUAGCAUGUGCAGAUUUUCUCUGAGUGCCUUCGGAAAUUCCACUUUUAUCAUUGAUUAAUCUACUUUGAUGAAACUUUUUCAAACUGUUGAUAAGAAUAUUCAUAACUUUCUGCAUGUCCACAUACAAUGUAAUUGUAAAUCUGCCUUGUUUCUUUCUCACUAAAAUGUGUCUAUGAAUAAAGGUUAAAAGAAAAAGAAAUAAAGAAAGAAUCACUAAAUCC